GCAGGAAUGGCGGAAUGGUAUACGCGGCUGACUUAGAAUCAGUAUUCUGAGAGUUCGAAUCUCUCUUCCUGUACAA
rnacentral:tRNA from 4 species